rnacentral:rRNA from 1 species
UCGAGAAUUUUUCUCAAUGGGGGAAACCCUGAAGGAGCGACGCCGCGUGGAGGAUGAAGGUCUUCGGAUUGUAAACUCCUGUCAUUGGUGAACAAGGCCCUCGGUUAACUGCCGUUGGGUUUGAUAGUAGCCGAAGAGGAAGAGACGGCUAACUCUGUGCCAGCAGCCGCGGUAAUACAGAGGUCUCAAGCGUUGUUCGGAUUCAUUGGGCGUAAAGGGUGCGUAGGUGGCGAGGCAAGUCUGGUGUGAAAUCCCGGGGCUCAACCCCGGAACUGCACUGGAUACUGCUUUGCUAGAGUACUGGAGAGGGAACUGGAAUUUACGGUGUAGCAGUGAAAUGCGUAGAUAUCGUAAGGAAGACCAGCGGCGAAGGCGAGUUCCUGGACAGUUACUGACGCUGAGGCACGAAGGCCAGGGGAGCAAACG